GCCACUUUAGCUUAGAGGGAAAGCCCUGUCAUGGUAAGGCAGUUUAGGUUGGUUCGAUUCCGACAAGUGGCACCA
rnacentral:tRNA from 2 species